rnacentral:lncRNA from 10 species
GACAGAGUCUCACUCUGUCACCCAGGCUGGAGUGCAGUGGUGUGAUCUUGGCCACUCCCGGGUUCAAGUGAUUCUCCCGCCUCAGCUUCCUGAGUAGUUGGGAUUACAGGCACCUGCCAGCACGCCUGACUAAUGUUUGUAUUUUUAGUAGAGAUGAGGUUUCACCACGUUGGCAGGUUGGCCUUGAACUCCUGACCUCAGGUGACCUGCCCACCUCGCCCACCCAAGGGAUUACACAGAUUAGACACCGGCAGCAGAAAAGAUGAGGGAAUUUGGGCCAGGCACAGUAGCUCAUGCCUGUAAUCCUAGCACACUGGGAGGCCGAGGCAGGAGGAUCACUUGAGGCUGGGACUUUGAGAUAAGCCUGGUCAACAUAGCCAGACCCUGUCUCUACAGAAAAAUAAAAAAAUUAGAUGGGUGUGGUGGUGCCUGCCUACAGUCCCAGCAACUUGAGAGGCUGAGGUGGGAGGAUCACUUGAGGCCAGAAGUUUAAGUCUACACUGAGCCUGGUCGUCACUGCACUCUAGUCUGAAUGACUAAGUGAGACCUUAUCGUUAUUUUUUUAUUUUAUUUAUUUAUUUAUUUUUGAGAUAGAGUCUCGCUCUGUCCCAAGCUGAAGCUGGAGUGCAAUGGCGCGAUCUCGACUCACUGCAACCUCCGCUUCCCGGGUUCAAGCGAUUCUCCUGCCUCAGCCUCCUGAAUAGCUGGGAUUACAGGCACCCGCCACCAUGCCCAGAUAAUUUUUGUAUUUUUUGUAGAGAUGGGGUUUUGCCACGUUGGCCAGGCUGAGACCUUAUCUUUAAAAAAAAAAAAAAAGGCUGGGCGCGGUGGCUCACGCCUGUAAUCCCAGCACUUUGGGAGGCCAAGGAGGGAGGAUAACCUGAGUUCAGGAGUUUGCGACCAGCCUGACUAACAUGGCGAAAACCCUUCUCUACUAGAAAUACAAAAAUUAGCCAAGUGUGGUGGUGCAUGCCUGUAAUCCCAGUUACUCAGGAGGCUGAGGCAGGAGAAUUGCC